rnacentral:rRNA from 1 species
UUGCCCUAGUAACGGCGAGUGAAGCGGCAACAGCUCAAAUUUGAAAUCUGGCUUCGGCCCGAGUUGUAAUUUGUAGAGGAAGCUUUUGGUGAGGCACCUUCUGAGUCCCCUGGAACGGGGCGCCAUAGAGGGUGAGAGCCCCGUAUAGUCGGAUGCCGAUCCAAUGUAAAGCUCCUUCGACGAGUCGAGUAGUUUGGGAAUGCUGCUCAAAAUGGGAGGUAAAUUUCUUCUAAAGCUAAAUACCGGCCAGAGACCGAUAGCGCACAAGUAGAGUGAUCGAAAGAUGAAAAGCACUUUGAAAAGAGGGUUAAAUAGCACGUGAAAUUGUUGAAAGGGAAGCGUUUGUGACCAGACUUGCGCCGUUCCGAUCAUCCGGUGUUCUCACCGGUGCACUCGGGGCGGCUCAGGCCAGCAUCGGUUUUGGCGGGGGGAUAAAGGUCCGGGGAACGUAGCUCCUCCGGGAGUGUUAUAGCCCCGGGCGUAAUGCCCUCGCCGGGACCGAGGUUCGCGCAUCUGCAAGGAUGCUGGCGUAAUGGUCAUCAACGACCCGUCUUGAAACACGGACCAAGGAGUCAAGGUUUUGCGCGAGUGUUUGGGUGUAAAACCCGCACGCGUAAUGAAAGUGAACGUAGGUGAGAGCUUCGGCGCAUCAUCGACCGAUCCUGAUGUAUUCGGAUGGAUUUGAGUAAGAGCGUUAAGCCUUGGACCCGAAAGAUGGUGAACUAUGCUUGGAUAGGGUGAAGCCAGAGGAAACUCUGGUGGAGGCUCGCAGCGGUUCUGACGUGCAAAUCGAUCGUCAAAUCUGAGCAUGGGGGCGAAAGACUAAUCG